ACCUGGGUGGCUCAGUUGGUUGAGCGUCUGACUUCAGCCCAGGUCAUGAUCCCACGCUUCGUGGGUUUGAGCCCCACGUCAGGCU
rfam:Felis catus isolate Cinnamon breed Abyssinian chromosome E1, whole genome shotgun sequence.